rnacentral:rRNA from 1 species
UAAGUGACGUCGAUAGGCGAAGACGAAGGCCAGUGUGUGGGGUAGCUCUACCGCCUGUCCCUCCGGGGUGGACCCAGGCCUUAGCCCUCCUUCGCCUCUACGUCCCUGCGGCCGCGGCGCCGUCCGGAUGGGCUGGGCCGGCGGCGGCGACCGCCGCCGUUGUCCGAGGACCGGCCCAUGGAGCGCGUGCUUAAGGAACGCACGCCGUGCCAGGACCCACUUUCCGCCCGCGGGCCGCCCGGCCUGUGCCCGAGGCUCCGCUCAGUCCCGGCUCCCGUCCGGCGCGCCAUGCUCCGGCACCGUCGCGACCACGUCCAGCCGCCGCGGACGCAAGGGCCCCACCACUUGGGGCGCGUCGAGCGGCGCACCCGCUGCUGUGCCACUCCUCCGGCGCCCCUUCCGCAUGUACAUACAUUCACAUCGAUUCAGGGACGACUAGUAGACCUCAGAGUAAUCAAUCUCGAAUACGACUGCUACAUCCAACCUACUCGUACUCUAGACAUGUAGAUACAAGAGUUGCUACGGUAUACCACACCAACCAAGAUGAUGAUCACAGACUAGUACGACCACAAGUAGAUGAUCACGUAACCAAAAAGAAGAAGACUAGGUCACUAAGCGAUCCUGAUUUAGAUCCUUUGUGAUCAUGGUCAACGGAC